GGGCAUGUAGUGUAGGGGUUAUCGCGCCUCAUUCGCAGACCAGUCCGGAAUCGAACUGCUGUCACGUGACUUGAGGAGGUCCCCGGUUCAAUUCCGGGCUUGUCCA